GCAUCUCAACUCAUCAUACCCAACCCCCAACUACUUUAGUUAUACGCAAGUUCCCAAGUUCCUCUUGGGCAACCUUGAAGAAUGAAUGGCAUAGUUCAUUAUCCUAUUCAGAUUUCCCCAAGUCAGUUAACUGUAAAGUAUUGAAAGGAAACAUGCACGCUUCUUGUUCCUGAGACACAACUAAACGAAAAAUAUAGAGGUGAACAUUUGAUCCCUUUACAAUUCCCGAGAAGCAGAAAUGUGAAACCAAGUGAAAUCAAUUAACUCGGUCUCGUCAAUUUCUUCUCAACAAACCAUUAGGGAGGUAGGAACUCAAUUUACUAAUUGUAAAAUUCCCUGUCACAGCUGACAUGCAGAGACAGGAGCUUCAAUAAUAAAGAUUUCUGAGGGUGAUUAGGUUUCAUUUCUUGAAUUUUCUCAGCAUCCAAGCAA
rnacentral:misc_RNA from 1 species